rnacentral:rRNA from 1 species
UACGUAGGGCGCAAGCGUUGUCCGGAAUUAUUGGGCGUAAAGAGCUCGUAGGUGGUUUGUCGCGUCUGCCGUGAAAGCCCGGGGCUUAACUCCGGGUCUGCGGUGGAUACGGGCAGACUAGAGGCAGGUAGGGGAGAACGGAAUUCCCGGUGUAGCGGUGAAAUGCGCAGAUAUCGGGAGGAACACCGGUGGCGAAGGCGGUUCUCGGGGCCUGUACUGACGCUGAGGCACGAAGGCCAGGGGAGCAAACGGG